UACAGAGGUCCCAAGCGUUGUUCGGAUUUACUGGGCGUAAAGGGUGCGUAGGCGGUCGGGUAAGUCUGGUGUGAAAUCUUCGAGCUUAACUCGGAAACUGCAUUGGAUACUAUUCGGCUAGAGAGUUGGAGGGGGGAUUGGAAUGCUUGGUGUAGCAGUGAAAUGCGUAGAUAUCAAGUGGAACACCAGUGGCGAAGGCGAAUCCCUGGACAACUUCUGACGCUGAGGCACGAAAGCUAGGGGAGCAAACAGG
rnacentral:rRNA from 1 species